AUUUGGGAACAAGCAUCCUUCUUAACUCUUGUAUCCCCAAAGGAGAAGCAGAAUAAAUAUUAUAAAGUCCUGAAUAUAUCUCUAGACAUAGUCAUUUCAGUAUCCAUUUCUUUCAAUUUAGCCCCUUAUUGGUAAUAUAUUCAGUAAUUAGAGAUUUUAAAUGUGAGUAUUGCUAUAGAUUUGAACAUAUUACAAUAAGUGCAUACAUGCCACAUAAGUGUAGUAAUAUUAUAUUUAUUAGCAACAGCUGUUAGGCAACAUGAAAAUUACGCUCAUUAAAUAUAUCACUGAAUGCAUACUAUUAGGACAUCCUUGCUAAGUGAACCAAUUGGUGAUAAUUUGCUUAACUUUAGAUUUUUGUCAUAAAGCUUUGUUUGCAUAAAUAGGGGUUAAACUUGUGCUUUUUCUUUAAAUGAAUUUGUAUGAUUGUUCUGAAAUUAAAAUCAGCAUUAUCUGUUGUUGCAAAGCUAAUC
rnacentral:lncRNA from 1 species